AGCGAACGCUGGCGGCGUGCUUAACACAUGCAAGUCGAACGUGAAAUGUAGCAAUACAGAGUAAAGUGGCGUACGGGUGAGUAACACGUAGGUAAUCUACCUUAGAGUUCGGAAUAACCUGCCGAAAGGCGGGCUAAUACUGGAUAGAGCGAAGAGAAUCAUAAUGAUUCUUUCGGUAAAGGGAGCCUGAUAAGGGCCCUCGCUUUAAGAUGAGCCUGCGUCUGAUUAGCUAGUUGGUGAGGUAAUGGCUCACCAAGGCGAUGAUCAGUAGCUGGUCUGAGAGGGAUGAUCAGCC
rnacentral:rRNA from 1 species